rnacentral:rRNA from 1 species
CCUACGGGAGGCAGCAGUGGGGAAUAUUGCACAAUGGGCGGAAGCCUGAUGCAGCGACGCCGCGUGAGGGAUGACGGCCUUCGGGUUGUAAACCUCUUUCAGUAGGGAAGAAGCGUAAGUGACGGUACCUGCAGAAGAAGCGCCGGCUAACUACGUGCCAGCAGCCGCGGUAAUACGUAGGGCGCAAGCGUUAUCCGGAAUUAUUGGGCGUAAAGAGCUCGUAGGCGGUUUGUCGCGUAUGCUGUGAAAGACCGGGGCUCAACUCCGGUUCUGCAGUGGGUACGGGCAGACUAGAGUGAUGUAGGGGAGACUGGAAUUCCUGGUGUAGCGGUGAAAUGCGCAGAUAUCAGGAGGAACACCGAUGGCGAAGGCAGGUCUCUGGGCAUUAACUGACGCUGAGGAGCGAAAGCAUGGGGAGCGAACAGGAUUAGAUACCCUGGUAGUCCAUGCCGUAAACGUUGGGCACUAGGUGUGGGGGACAUUCCACGUUUUCCGCGCCGUAGCUAACGCAUUAAGUGCCCCGCCUGGGGAGUACGGCCGCAAGGCUAAAACUCAAAGGAAUUGACGG